UAGUGGGAGUGGCCUGCGGUGCUGUGCAUUCUGGGAUUUGUUGUCUUUCAUCCACAUGAGCCAAAAGAAACACUGUCUGUCUUUUCUCGUCCAAGAAGGCACCAACUUCAAAAUGUAUUUCACAUUUCUACAUAUAUGACCCAAUGGCUGAUCCUGUUUCCCCUUUGCUUCAGUCUUUGUGCUAAGCUAAUACCACUCUGGAUCCAUCUACAUACACACAGAGGAAAUAUUCCUGUGUGCAUAUUGACUGAUUUUCCAGUUAAUGUGGGUGCUUCAAAGCAAACAAGUGGUUACUUUGUUCCUUUAGCUCUGCAGGAGGGGAGUUCAGCGUUUUCCGCGACGGUCUGCUUGAGCUGACUAGUGGUUGGGGAGAUUCAGAGCUGGAUCUGCCAGGGCUGUUAAGUUUUAAGGGGUUGGUGUGUGUGUAGUGUGUGUGUGUGUGUGUGUGGUUUGGUGUGGUGUGGUGUGUGUGUGUGUGGCGUGUCAGCGAGCAGAAUGGGGCUGCCAUAGGCCUGACAGGAUGACAGCUGUCACCAAGGAAAUAGAGAGAGGAAGAGGAGGAGAGACACCGCCUCAAGGGAACACACACACUCUCUCUCUCUUUCAGACAAGGCCUGGAAGUUGUGUGUGUGUGUGUGUGUGUGUGUGUGUGUGUGUGUGUGUGUGUGUGUGUGUGUGUGUGUGUGUGUGUGUGUGUGUGUGUGUGUGUGUGUGUUUUAGCAUGUCUGUGUGUGCAGUCAUGUUUGUUUGCGAGCAGGAGAAAAGCUACAACGGGAACAUAAUUGGUUUGUGUUUCGGUAAUGUACACACUUAUCUUCACAUCAGCAAUUACAGUGUGUGUGUUGAAUAGGAACAAAGGGACGCUGUUGGUAUGUGUUACAAGGUGUGUGUGUGUGUGUGUGUGUGUGUGUGUGUACAUGCUUCCCCCUGUGUAUGUGUGUGUGUGUGUUCUUUGUAUUGAGUUUGGUCUGCUUCAUUAGUUUAUAUUGUAAAAUCGAUGUUGCCCAUUGUGGUACGACCUGUUCGCUGAUACGGUGCCGUGUUUUGGUGUGUGUGUGUGUGAGUGUGUGUGUGUGUGUGUGUGUGUGUGUGUGUGAGUGAGUGCCCAGUAAUAGUGACCCUGGGGAGAGAGUCAGACAUGGGGGGAGGAGCCCCCUAAGUGACCUGGAAAGCAGACCCAUCCAUCAACUCUCUCUCCCCCCCUCAAUCCUUUCGUUCCCUCUCUUGUUGUCUUUUUUUUUCUCUCUUCUCUCUAUCAGCAAUCACUGCUCUUAAAGCUACACCUGUGUGUGUGUGUGUGUGUGUGUGUGUGUGUGUGUGUGUGUGUGUGUGAGUGUGAGUGUGUGUGUGUGAACAUUUCUGAGAUGCCUCUACCUCCACUUGCCGGAGCGGGGGGGGGGGGGUUAUGUGUGUUUAACCCGGGCUGGCCGGCCCCGCUAAGCCUAAUGGUCUCUGUAAAAAAAAGAGGGAGAGUGAGGUGGAGUGAAACCGGAGAGGACAGCGGACUAAAGAGUGAAGACGGGGGGGGAGGGGGGGGGGGGGGGAUGAGGGGAUGCUAACGGAGGAAUACAGACUCUAGUGAGGCGGAGGAGAAAAACUUAGUGUGGAGCAAACACACCUCAGCUAUACUUCUUCAAACCAAACUUUUUCUGCACCUGAAAUCACAUUAACACCCCGAGUUCUAACGUUUAAAUUCUUACUUUUAGUGGACAUGGCGUGCAUGGCGCUCCAACAGGAAACUUCAUUUGCACACGCUUGCGUCGCAUGCUUAACUAUUUAUUUUUGGGCUUCUUGUGCCUUUAAUGGAGAGAUAGGACAGUGGACAGAGCCGGAAACCAGGAAGAGAGAGAGGGUAGGGAAUGACAUGUGGGGAAAAAGGAGCAACAGGCCGGACUCGAACCCGGGCCGCCAUAGCCUCCACACAUGGGGCGCGCGCACCAACCACUGAGCCGCCAGCGCCCCGCGUCGCAUGCUUUUUAGGUCAGGCUGUGUAGGACGUCUUGACACCUAGCGUUUGAAAAGUGCUCGCUGUAAACUGAGAAGAAAAGUGCUGCUCGCCUGUCCUGUCGCUAUGACAACGGCCUGUUGACCUGUUUAAUAUUUGAGAUCGUUUAUGACCCGAUCAGACACGGAGCAAAGGAAUGUAAACUCUCGAUAUCAAGAAGUGGGAGCAGAUGGUUUGUUUUGGAGCAAAAGUAAGAUUUCUACAGGAGUUCAGUUUACAUGUUAACAACAUAAUCUGUUGAGUCAGUCAGUGAGUCAUGACAUUUACACAGUUUAUCCAUCGUUUUGUCAUCGCUCCGUAAAUGAAAUGUAAAAGGUUCAUUGACCGUCACAUUCUCUGUUAAGUGACUCAUUGUUUCAACACUUGGAAUAAAAAAGAAGAAGAAGAAAAUCCAUCUUAAAGAAUUACUGGACCGACUGUUUGUAAUAGAGUUCAGUGCAGCUCAGAUAUAUGUGUAUUUAAACAACUUGUUCUGUAAACAAACCUCCAGAGAGAGAGAGAUAGAGAG